GCCUUUCUUGCAGUAAGUAGGCCACUUGUUCUCGAACAUUCCAGAUUGUUUUAGUUCUUGCAAGUUACAAUUUCAUAUUUCACUUACCUGUGUAUUCAUACAUUUUAGCAGUGUACAUGAAGUUAAUGCAUAUGUUGAAUUAAAUAGGUAAAUCUCAUUAUUGUUUGUAUCGUAUAUGAGACGGAUACAAGGAAAACAAUUUUUUUUCAUGUAUUACAUAGCGUUUGAAAUUUUUUUUUUUUUAAAUAGGUUUUUGAUGUUUUAUAAUCUGGUACAUAAUUCAUUCAACUACUGAGGGGUGAAUUCUCUGUAUUUACGGAGCUAUGCCGUGUGUGAAUUUGUGAAUUGGGGAUUUAUGUAAGCGAAAGGGCGUUUUAGGACUGUAUUCUUCCACCUCUGUGAUUAAAUACCCUAAAUUCCGGAAAUAUUAGGGAUCUCUAAAUUUGGUGUUGAUUUGGGCCUCGAAUGCCUCGAACGAAGUCAUAAGCACGUUACGUUAAUGUUUCGAGGUUAUACUGUAACGUAUUAAUUUAACAAUAAUCAAAUACCAUUUUUAAACUCCGUAAAGUCAUUUUAGAUAUUUUGCUAUAAUUUGAGGGAAAUAGUAUGCUAUUAGUUCCAUUAUAAAAUCUCGAAUUAAUUAGGGCGCAAACUUGAUCACAUUUUUUUUUUAAAAUGGUAUCUACUUUCGAAGGUUUUGAAUUAACUACAUUCAUUUGAGAAAGGAGAGCUAUUUUGAAAAUCGUGAAUAAGCGCACACUUUGUUUGUGAAUUAAGUAUAAGUGCAAUAUUGACAUUAUUAAAAUUAUUUGCUCUACAUGAAGUUCGAAAAAGUACUUUUGUGUCUAUGUGACGUGUGCACGCAACAUCCAGAUACUUCCAGAUUUGCCGAUUCUAAUUUCUUCGUAAACACAUUGCAUAAUAAUUUCUUCUGGCUCUUUGCUGGAUAAAACGUGCAUUGUAUUAUUAUUGGUGUUAUUUAGGUACUAUAGAAUAAAUUACUAUUCUAUUGUGUAGUUUCAAUAAGAAUAAAAAUUCAGUGUGCAAGUGUCCACUCAAUAUAAUUAUGAGGUUUGCCCACAUCACUUAUUGUUUAUAUUACUUAGGGUAUGUCACACUACUUAUGUUAUUUUAGUAUUAUGUUUAUCAGUUAAUAAUCUGAUAACAUUUUUACUCAGCUCAGAACACAUUUUUUUUAUGAACAGAAAAAAAUAUGCCAACCUGCUUUCCAGAAUAUGAAUACAAGGAGAAUGGGGAUACACCUGUUUGCCUAUUGCAUCUCCGACAUUGUUUCUCCUUGUUUAGUUUAUUACCUAAAAUCAAGGCCCAAAAUGCUGCAAGUGGAGGGGUGCGCCCUCUUUGCUUGCUCUACUUGCACUCUUGGAAAGAUUCAUGAUUAAAAAUGGGACGAAUUAACGAAAUUAACAAAUGUGCUUUAGUGGGAUGGUUAGCAAUUUUCAGCAGUACACAAGAACACAAUUUAUAUAUAUAUAUAUAUAUAUAUAUAUAUAUAUAUAUAUAUAUAUAUAUAUAUAUAUAUAUAUAUGUGUGUGUGUGUGUGUGUGUGUAUGUAUGUGUGUGUGUGUGUGUGUGUGUAUUUGUUUUUUUCUUGGGAAAAACCUGCUUUCAGUAGAGCUUUUUAAAGCCAUAACUACAUGUUUUGUUUAUGUAGUGUUACGUAUAGCAUGUUUCAGUACUUCAGCUGGGCUGCAUGCGAGGCUGGUAUCUGUCGCAUCACCUCCUCACCAUGGCGAAGCCAGCAACCGGUGCUCUCGUCUAUCUGCGCACAUUUGGGAUGCGUUGUGUGGCGCUGCUCUUUGGAGGCUGCAUGCAGGCCGCAGUCUGGUCUGCUGGUGGAGGGGAAAUGGUCGCUCCUGUUCAUUCACCCAAUCCACGUGGCUGUUCCAGCAGGUACUGCUACGAAGUACUAGCUGCUGCUGAAAUACUGUUGGCCGCUGUCUAGCUGCUCAACGCUGCCUGGCCUGGUAAACGGAAACUAGAUGAUUUGAACAAGUGUGCUGCAGGGUGUUGGAGAAAUGCGGCAGAGUCGCCGCUUGGGGAGUCGAGUAAAAGCCUUGCUUGCGGGCAGUGUGGCACGGCCAAGCAGAGCUGGGCGGACGCUGCGAUGGAGAGUCACGUCACCGCCACGCCGGCUGGGAGGUUCCAAACACACACUGUGGAACUGAAGACGUCCAGAGUGAACAAAGCAACUUGCUGUGCAACUUCUAAAAUUCCUGUCUGAAUGGGAGACUGUCUAACAGUAAUGGAUCAGGAGUCACUACUAGUGGCACUACAGGGAAGCUUUCUCGCAGCCGGACAGUUGUGGGUUCUAGUACCGGGGCAAGGUGCCCCAAGGAACUCCCGGCGCACAUGCAGGUUCAUCCAUUGGUUUGUACAGUUCACUGAGUAAAGUAAACUUGUUUAUGUACAUUGCCGCUGAUAUGUCAGUACAUUUGUCCACAAUAUCUGUACAAACAUUUUCUGUGCAACAGCAAGCCAACUGCGUGUAUGCCUUUCCAAAUGAAUAACUACGAAAAUACUCCUUUAUACCUUUGUUCACAUUUCAAACUAAAUGUUACUAAACUUAUUUCAAAUUAAUACAUGUUAUUUCAUUAAACUCUAAAAUAAACAGUUAAAAAAUUUGCUCUGCCAUGAUUCGAACAUCGAAUCGCAGGACACAACAUUAAGUACAUGUAUUUUCCUUAGAAAUGUGGUCAGGUUCCUAUAACAUACUCCACUCUUCUUCCUGCCCUGCCAUAUUUUACUGACUUUGUACGUCAGCGUGUGACGCGUGCUGGGAUGUUUUGAACAGCGUUGCCUUCACCUAUGUGGAAGAGAAGGAUGGAGGGGAAACGCAUUAGUGUCGGUUCCUUGUACCCGUAAUGUUUAUUAAAGUAAUACGUAAUUACAUUUUUUUCCCCCAAUAGCUAUGUUAUUUCAAUUUCGUUAGUAAAUUAUUUAAAUAAUUACCUUUCAUUGGUUUUAUUGUCUGCAGGUGGACUAGGACAUGUAUAAACGCACCCCUGAUCAUACUUUGUUUUUUUAAUAUAAAAAUAUUGUAAAGGGUUUGUGUCAGUUUAAUAAUGUGUCUUAAAAUUAAGGGAAGAAUUUUAUUCCUUGUGCUUUUCAUGUACGUAUGUGGUAUGAUUUUUGAACGACCCAACUGUCUUUGUGUCUUAGAGUGGGGAUGUUGUCCAGUGUGCUCAUUGGCCAGCUCUCUGCCUAGUCGGACUUCAUCACUACGCAGGGUUGAACCCUCGAAGCAUCCCAUUACUGUUAAUGUUAUUCUGAUCAUAUUUAAAUAUUAAUCUAUUUUUUUACAUCCUUGGGCUCAUCUCAGGAGGCUUGCUGCUGUAUUAAUUUAAUUGAAACCCUUCUUGGGACUCUUGGCAUUAACACAGAGGUAUCGUCCAGCCAUUCGUAGGUGUGCCAGACUUAAAAUACAUAAACUGAUUUGUGC